rnacentral:rRNA from 1 species
ACGAACGCUGGCGGCGUGCUUAACACAUGCCAGUCGAACGCUGAAGCUUGGUGCUUGCACUGGGUGGAUGAGUGGUGAACGGGUGAGUAAUACGUGAGUAACCUGCCCUUGACUCUGGGAUAAGCCUGGGAAACUGGGUCUAAUACUGGAUAUGACAUGCCACUGCAUGGUGGUGUGUGGAAAGGGUUUUACUGGUUUUGGAUGGGCUCACGGCCUAUCAGCUUGUUGGUGGGGUAAUGGCCUACCAAGGCGACGACGGGUAGCCGGCCUGAGAGGGUGACCGGCCACACUGGGACUGAGACACGGCCCAGACUCCUACGGGAGGCAGCAGUGGGGAAUAUUGCACAAUGGGCGGAAGCCUGAUGCAGCGACGCCGCGUGAGGGAUGACGGCCUUCGGGUUGUAAACCUCUUUCAGCACGGAAGAAGCGAGAGUGACGGUACGUGCAGAAGAAGCGCCGGCUAACUACGUG